rnacentral:rRNA from 2 species
UGAAUGGAAGGGCCAUCGCUCAACGGAUAAAAGGUACUCCGGGGAUAACAGGCUGAUACCGCCCAAGAGUUCAUAUCGACGGCGGUGUUUGGCACCUCGAUGUCGGCUCAUCACAUCCUGGGGCUGAAGUAGGUCCCAAGGGUAUGGCUGUUCGCCAUUUAAAGUGGUACGCGAGCUGGGUUUAGAACGUCGUGAGACAGUUCGGUCCCUAUCUGCCGUGGGCGCUGGAGAACUGAGGGGGGCUGCUCCUAGUACGAGAGGACCGGAGUGGACGCAUCACUGGUGUUCGGGUUGUCAUGCCAAUGGCACUGCCCGGUAGCUAAAUGCGGAAGAGAUAAGUGCUGAAAGCAUCUAAGCACGAAACUUGCCCCGAGAUGAGUUCUCCCUGACUCCUUGAGAGUCCUGAAGGAACGUUGAAGACGACGACGUUGAUAGGCCGGGUGUGUAAGCGCAGCGAUGCGUUGAGCUAACCGGUACUAAUGAACCGUGAGGCUUAACCUU